AUUGAACGCUGGCGGCAGGCCUAACACAUGCAAGUCGAGCGGAUGAGUGGAGCUUGCUCCAUGAUUCAGCGGCGGACGGGUGAGUAAUGCCUAGGAAUCUGCCUUGUAGUGGGGGACAACGUUUCGAAAGGAAAGCUAAUACCGCAUACGUCCUACGGGAGAAAGGGAGGGUUCUUCGGACCUCACGCUAUUAGAUGAGCCUAGGUCGGAUUAGCUAGUUGGUGAGGUAAAGGCUUACCAAGGCGACGAUCCGUAACUGGUCUGAGAGGAUGAUCAGUCACACUGGAACUGAGACACGGUCCAGACUCCUACGGGAGGCAGCAGUGGGGAAUAUUGGACAAUGGGCGAAAGCCUGAUCCAGCCAUGCCGCGUGUGUGAAGAAGGUCUUCGGAUUGUAAAGCACUGUUAGUUGGGAGGAAGAGCAGUGAGUUAAUACCUUGCUGUUUUGACGUUACCAACAGAAUAAGCACCGGCUAACUUCGUG
rnacentral:rRNA from 1 species